AUUGAACGCUGGCGGCAUGCCUUACACAUGCAAGUCGAACGGUAACGGGCCUUCGGGUGCCGACGAGUGGCGAACGGGUGAGUAAUGCAUCGGAACGUACCUUUCAGUGGGGGAUAACGUAGCGAAAGUUACGCUAAUACCGCAUAUUCUGUGAGCAGGAAAGCAGGGGAUCGCAAGACCUUGCGCUGAUUGAGCGGCCGAUGUCAGAUUAGCUAGUUGGUGAGGUAAAGGCUCACCAAGGCGACGAUCUGUAGCGGGUCUGAGAGGAUGAUCCGCCACACUGGAACUGAGACACGGUCCAGACUCCUACGGGAGGCAGCAGUGGGGAAUUUUGGACAAUGGGGGGCAACCCUGAUCCAGCCAUGCGCGUGAGUGAAGAAGGCCUUCGGGUUGGUUAAA
rnacentral:rRNA from 1 species